rnacentral:rRNA from 1 species
GAAAGCGGCGAAAGGGAGAGUAACGCGUGGAUACCUACCCCUGGGACCGGGAUAGCGGCGGGAAACUGCCGGUAAUACCGGAUGACGUCCCCGGACCAAAGGUGCGAUUCCGCCUGGGGAUGGGUCCGCGUCCUAUUAGCUUGUUGGUGGGGUAACGGCCUACCAAGGCGAAGAUGGGUAGCGGGUGUGAGAGCAUGGCCCGCCUCACUGGGACUGAGACACUGCCCAGACACCUACGGGUGGCUGCAGUCGAGGAUCUUCCGCAAUGGGCGCAAGCCUGACGGAGCGACGCCGCGUGCGGGAUGAAGGCCUUCGGGUUGUAAACCGCUGUCAGAGGGGAACAAAUCCAUGAGGGUUCUCUCUCAUGGUUGAGUGAUCCUCAGAGGAAGCGCAGGCUAAGUUCGUGCCAGCAGCCGCGGUAACACGAACUGCGCGAACGUUAUUCGGAAUCACUGGGCUUAAAGAGUUCGUAGGCGGCUUUGCAGGUGGGGUGUGAAAGCCCUCGGCUCAACCGAGGAAUUGCGCUCCAAACCGUAAGGCUUGAGGGAGAUAGAGGUGAGCGGAACUGAUGGUGGAGCGGUGAAAUGCGUUGAUAUCAUCAGGAACACCGGUGGCGAAA